rnacentral:rRNA from 1 species
UACGGAGGGUGCAAGCGUUGUUCGGAUUGAUUGGGCGUAAAGCGCACGUAGGCUGGCUCAUAAGUCGAUUGUGAAAUCCCUGGGCUUAACCCGGGAACUGCAGUCGAAACUGUAAGCCUUGAAUGCUUGAGGGGUCAGUGGAAUUCUUGGUGUAGGAGUGAAAUCCGUAGAUAUCAAGAGGAAUACCAGAGGCGAAGGCGACUGACUGGUGAUGCAUUGACGCUGAGGUGCGAAAGCGCGGGGAGCAAACAGG